rnacentral:tRNA from 1 species
GGAGGGGUGCCAGAGUGGUUGAAUGGGCCGGUUUCGAAAACCGGUGUGCCUUUACGGGUACCGUGGGUUCGAAUCCCACCCUCUCCG